GGUGAACGCUGGCGGUAGGCCUAACACAUGCAAGUCGAACGGCAGCACAGUAAGAGCUUGCUCUUACGGGUGGCGAGUGGCGGACGGGUGAGGAAUACAUCGGAAUCUACUUUUUCGUGGGGGUUAACGUAGGGAAACUUACGCUAAUACCGCAUACGACCUACGGGUGAAAGCAGGGGAUCUUCGGACCUUGCGCGAUUGAAUGAGCCGAUGUCGGAUUAGCUAGUUGGCGGGGUAAAGGCCCACCAAGGCGACGAUCCGUAGCUGGUCUGAGAGGAUGAUCAGCCACACUGGAACUGAGACACGGUCCAGACUCCUACGGGAGGCAGCAGUGGGGAAUAUUGGACAAUGGGCGCAAGCCUGAUCCAGCCAUACCGCGUGGGUGAAGAAGGCCUUCGGGUUGUAAAGCCCUUUUGUUGGGAAAGAAAAGCAGCAGGUUAAUACCCCGCUGUUCUGACGGUACCCAAAGAAUAAGCACCGGCUAACUUCGUG
rnacentral:rRNA from 1 species